UACGGAGGGUGCAAGCGUUGUUCGGAAUCAUUGGGCGUAAAGCGCGUGUAGGCGGUUUUGUAAGUCUGAAGUGAAAGCCCGGGGCUUAACCCCGGAAGUGCGUUGGAUACUGCAUCACUAGAGGACGGGAGAGGAUGGUGGAAUUCCUGGCGUAGGGGUGAAAUCCGUAGAUAUCAGGAGGAACAUCAGUGGCGAAGGCGGCCAUCUGGCCCGUAACUGACGCUGAGACGCGAAAGCGUGGGGAGCAAACAGG
rnacentral:rRNA from 1 species